AGCGUACACGGUGGAUGCCCUGGCAGUCAGAGGCGAUGAAGGACGUGCUAAUCUGCGAUAAGCGUCGGUAAGGUGAUAUGAACCGUUAUAACCGGCGAUUUCCGAAUGGGGAAACCCAGUGUGUUUCGACACACUAUCAUUAACUGAAUCCAUAGGUUAAUGAGGCGAACCGGGGGAACUGAAACAUCUAAGUACCCCGAGGAAAAGAAAUCAACCGAGAUUCCCCCAGUAGCGGCGAGCGAACGGGGAGCAGCCCAGAGCCUGAAUCAGUGUGUGUGUUAGUGGAAGCGUCUGGAAAGGCGCGCGAUACAGGGUGACAGCCCCGUACACAAAAAUGCACAUGCUGUGAGCUCGAUGAGUAGGGCGGGACACGUGGUAUCCUGUCUGAAUAUGGGGGGACCAUCCUCCAAGGCUAAAUACUCCUGACUGACCGAUAGUGAACCAGUACCGUGAGGGAAAGGCGAAAAGAACCCCGGCGAGGGGAGUGAAAAAGAACCUGAAACCGUGUACGUACAAGCAGUGGGAGCACGCUUAGGCGUGUGACUGCGUACCUUUUGUAUAAUGGGUCAGCGACUUAUAUUCUGUAGCAAGGUUAACCGAAUAGGGGAGCCGAAGGGAAACCGAGUCUUAACUGGGCGUUAAGUUGCAGGGUAUAGACCCGAAACCCGGUGAUCUAGCCAUGGGCAGGUUGAAGGUUGGGUAACACUAACUGGAGGACCGAACCGACUAAUGUUGAAAAAUUAGCGGAUGACUUGUGGCUGGGGGUGAAAGGCCAAUCAAACCGGGAGAUAGCUGGUUCUCCCCGAAAGCUAUUUAGGUAGCGCCUCGUGAAUUCAUCUCCGGGGGUAGAGCACUGUUUCGGCAAGGGGGUCAUCCCGACUUACCAACCCGAUGCAAACUGCGAAUACCGGAGAAUGUUAUCACGGGAGACACACGGCGGGUGCUAACGUCCGUCGUGAAGAGGGAAACAACCCAGACCGCCAGCUAAGGUCCCAAAGUCAUGGUUAAGUGGGAAACGAUGUGGGAAGGCCCAGACAGCCAGGAUGUUGGCUUAGAAGCAGCCAUCAUUUAAAGAAAGCGUAAUAGCUCACUGGUCGAGUCGGCCUGCGCGGAAGAUGUAACGGGGCUAAACCAUGCACCGAAGCUGCGGCAGCGACGCUGAUGCGUUGUUGGGUAGGGGAGCGUUCUGUAAGCCUGCGAAGGUGUGCUGUGAGGCAUGCUGGAGGUAUCAGAAGUGCGAAUGCUGACAUAAGUAACGAUAAAGCGGGUGAAAAGCCCGCUCGCCGGAAGACCAAGGGUUCCUGUCCAACGUUAAUCGGGGCAGGGUGAGUCGACCCCUAAGGCGAGGCCGAAAGGCGUAGUCGAUGGGAAACAGGUUAAUAUUCCUGUACUUGGUGUUACUGCGAAGGGGGGACGGAGAAGGCUAUGUUGGCCGGGCGACGGUUGUCCCGGUUUAAGCGUGUAGGCUGGUUUUCCAGGCAAAUCCGGAAAAUCAAGGCUGAGGCGUGAUGACGAGGCACUACGGUGCUGAAGCAACAAAUGCCCUGCUUCCAGGAAAAGCCUCUAAGCAUCAGGUAACAUCAAAUCGUACCCCAAACCGACACAGGUGGUCAGGUAGAGAAUACCAAGGCGCUUGAGAGAACUCGGGUGAAGGAACUAGGCAAAAUGGUGCCGUAACUUCGGGAGAAGGCACGCUGAUAUGUAGGUGAAGUCCCUCGCGGAUGGAGCUGAAAUCAGUCGAAGAUACCAGCUGGCUGCAACUGUUUAUUAAAAACACAGCACUGUGCAAACACGAAAGUGGACGUAUACGGUGUGACGCCUGCCCGGUGCCGGAAGGUUAAUUGAUGGGGUUAGCGCAAGCGAAGCUCUUGAUCGAAGCCCCGGUAAACGGCGGCCGUAACUAUAACGGUCCUAAGGUAGCGAAAUUCCUUGUCGGGUAAGUUCCGACCUGCACGAAUGGCGUAAUGAUGGCCAGGCUGUCUCCACCCGAGACUCAGUGAAAUUGAACUCGCUGUGAAGAUGCAGUGUACCCGCGGCAAGACGGAAAGACCCCGUGAACCUUUACUAUAGCUUGACACUGAACAUUGAGCCUUGAUGUGUAGGAUAGGUGGGAGGCUUUGAAGUGUGGACGCCAGUCUGCAUGGAGCCGACCUUGAAAUACCACCCUUUAAUGUUUGAUGUUCUAACGUGGACCCGUAAUCCGGGUUGCGGACAGUGUCUGGUGGGUAGUUUGACUGGGGCGGUCUCCUCCUAAAGAGUAACGGAGGAGCACGAAGGUUGGCUAAUCCUGGUCGGACAUCAGGAGGUUAGUGCAAUGGCAUAAGCCAGCUUGACUGCGAGCGUGACGGCGCGAGCAGGUGCGAAAGCAGGUCAUAGUGAUCCGGUGGUUCUGAAUGGAAGGGCCAUCGCUCAACGGAUAAAAGGUACUCCGGGGAUAACAGGCUGAUACCGCCCAAGAGUUCAUAUCGACGGCGGUGUUUGGCACCUCGAUGUCGGCUCAUCACAUCCUGGGGCUGAAGUAGGUCCCAAGGGUAUGGCUGUUCGCCAUUUAAAGUGGUACGCGAGCUGGGUUUAGAACGUCGUGAGACAGUUCGGUCCCUAUCUGCCGUGGGCGCUGGAGAAUUGAGGGGGGCUGCUCCUAGUACGAGAGGACCGGAGUGGACGCAUCACUGGUGUUCGGGUUGUCAUGCCAAUGGCACUGCCCGGUAGCUAAAUGCGGAAGAGAUAAGUGCUGAAAGCAUCUAAGCACGAAACUUGCCCCGAGAUGAGUUCUCCCUGACUCCUUGA
rnacentral:rRNA from 2 species